AAUAAACUCAUAUGUACUGCAGAAUUUAAUUAUUAUUGGUUAUAUUUGAAAUUAGUAGACUCUAAAUUAUGAAUUGAUUUACCAAUAAUAUAUGUUUGUCCUGAAUUAAUAAUUAGUCUUAUAUCUUAUAUUAUAGGAUCUGGUUGAUAUCAAGGGGACUAAUAUUUUUGGAUAAUCGUGUUCACUAGAGAUCCGGCGUAGCUUCGUACUAGCUGAACUUUUGGUUUGAACUUUUGGCUGAGAGGCAUUAUAUGGAGAGCCUCUUCAUUUUGAUGUUACCUUCAGCACAUUUUGCUUUGUUUUGUAAAAAUGCUUAUAACGGUGAGCUUGUGGGCUGUAAGUACCAAUUAUAUAUAUAGUUGCUCUGACUUCUAUCAUCAGCAGGUUUAUGAAUAUUUUGAAAUAAACUAUAUGAUAUGAAGUGUCAGGCUUGACCCGUGUAUAAGACUUGUCUUAGGCAUUGGUCGUUGCAGUCGCGAACCCCGUAUUUUAUGGAAUUCCGCUGUAGUUUCGGGGCGUGACAUAUAAAGUGUAAACUUUGUUAUGUUGAUGAAGUCUGCUGUAAUCCAUCCCCAAACUGUCUUAACUGACAGUAUGACAUGGGCAGUCUUCUAAUAAAUGUGUAUUUUUUGGUAAUAGUCUUGGAUAUAGUUCAAAAUAUGUAACAUAUUCUUGAACUUACGAAGAAAAUUUUUA